ACUUCUCAAAUCUUUAAUGGUUGUUAUGACUAUUGAAGGCUUUGGAUGUGGAGGGUUUUGCUGGCCUUUCUAUAGAUCAGCUCCUCUUAAAAGCAUUAGUGGUUACUGUUCUCCACUUUGGUGUGAUAAUUAUCUACGUCUAUAAGUGAAGAUGUUAAGUGUAGCUGCUUUCAAACUGUCCAUGUUAACUUGGACAAUCUUUGAACUGU
rnacentral:misc_RNA from 1 species